UACCUUCUGGGCGGUGGUAAAAGUUUCCAUGCAACUCUCCAUGCUGUCUCUCUUCCCUUAUCUGCUGCCCAUAUGCAGAGUGGAGACGUACCCAGUGGAGGUCUGUGCGGACCAUGUUGGGGCCACAAGGUGGAAGGACCCUGGGUCCCCGAAUGUCUGCGUGGAUGAAGCCCCUGCAUUCACCCACAUUGUGCUGGGAUGUGAAUGAGAAGCAAACCUUCCCUGAGGAGCCACUGCCAAGCUUCCGGAGCGGCGUCAAGAACUUCUGCAGCCGAGUGGCUCCCGUCUGUGGCGCAGCCUCCCUUGGCUCCCAGGAGGCAGGUGGUCUGUGGAGCUGAGCAGAGGUCCCCUGAUCUAGGCCUGGUGGACCCUGACGCUUGUCCUCCGCGAGGGAGCGCUGGCACAGCCCCGCUGGACCCCUCUCCUCUGCCACUUGACCGUUUGCGCAGCGCCUGUCCUGGCAGCCAGCAGGCACUGGCUUCCUUCUUCCUCUCCGGCUCUUGAACGAGAGUAAAUUCUUAAUCAAAGGCCGGGCACCUCAUCUGUUUCCAGUUGCUUCUCUGUUGUGAAGAAGAGAGGCUCACAGGAGGGAAACGUCGCCCCGCACCCCGCCUGGCUCUCACACCAACUGCACGCGCACGCACGCCCCGCAGUCGGACUCGGCGCUCUGUUCACAUAAUUCUAUUGACAUUUUGAGGCUAAAAUUAUGUAUGCUACUUUAAUUUGCUGUUAAAUUAAAUUAUGAAUGUUUGGAACGUA